GCACGGCGUCAUGACGUAGGACGCAGCACGCUGUGAAGGAAACAUCUGGCGGGAAGAAUGGAUGUGGCCGAGUUUCAGAGGCUGCGGGACGGUCACGUGGGCAAGAUCCGGGAGGGUCUACAGGAGGCCACGAGACUUCUGUGCCAGCUGAACCAGAACCUGACGGUGUGGGGUGAGCGGAGCGGAGACCUGGAGACCCUCGCUCAGGUGUGGACGCAGUUCCAGCAGCAGCUGGUGGUGUUAUCUGCGGCUUUGGAUGACUCUGCGGAGUGACACUCGCGGCUCCUGACCUCAGUAUGACAAUAAACGGUGACACUGACGUAA